AUUGAACGCUGGCGGCAGGCUUAACACAUGCAAGUCGAGCGGGGGGAGGUAGCUUGCUACCGGACCUAGCGGCGGACGGGUGAGUAAUGCUUAGGAAUCUGCCUAUUAGUGGGGGACAACAUCUCGAAAGGGAUGCUAAUACCGCAUACGUCCUACGGGAGAAAGCAGGGGAUCUUCGGACCUUGCGCUAAUAGAUGAGCCUAAGUCGGAUUAGCUAGUUGGUGGGGUAAAGGCCUACCAAGGCGACGAUCUGUAGCGGGUCUGAGAGGAUGGUCCGCCGCACGUGGACUGAGACACGGCCCAGACUCCUACGGGAGGCAGCAGUGGGGACUAUUGGACAAUGGGGGGAACCCUGAUCCAGCCAUGCCGCGUGUGUGAAGAAGGCCUUAUGGUUGUAAAGCUCUUUAAGCGAGGAGGAGGCUACUUUAGUUAAUACCUAGAGAUAGUGGACGUUACUCGCAGAAUAAGCACCGGCUAACUCUGUGCCAGCCGCCGCCGUAA
rnacentral:rRNA from 1 species